GGAAAUGCAUUUGGGUGGGUCAUCGUGCCGGAGCCAUUAGCUGGAAGGUCGCCGGCGACAAAGAAUAUCGCCCAUAAAAGACUAGCCGUUGAGAGAAUGAUAACGGCAAAGAAAAUUCAAAUGGGCGCGUGAAAAAGCAUUUGAAUUUCAAUAUAUAUAUAUAAGCAAUUCAGUUUCAUUUCGUUACAGACAUUUUUUCUUUCUCUGAUUACCCCUUUCUCUCCAUGUUCUGUUUUGUUAUUGUCCGUUUCUGUCAAUGUUCUGUUCUUUCUCUCUGUUUUCUUCAAAAAAAUUUAAGUGUUUGCUUUGUUUUCAUUUUUCAUUUUUCUGGUUUUCAGCGUGCACGCUGGUCUGUCUGUCUCUUUUUCGGUAGUGCAUUUUUCUAGCAGAGCAGAGGAAAGGUAGAGCAGAGGAAGAGGCAGAGCAACCGAGGGCAAAUUCUUCUUACAGGGUGACAGACAAUGCAAUCUAAUGAGAAGGAUCUUGAGCAGCUAUUUGACUUAGUUGUUUUUCAUCAUGGUGUAUUCAAAACAACAAGAGAUGGAAUUAGGCUUGCAUUAUUUCUUUAGUUAUGUUUUGGUCAAGCAUUUUGACUUGAUAGCAUUGUAACUUGUACAAAUAUAAUGUUUAAUAGAAAAAUUAUUCCUUGA